CCGUGCUAGGCGGGGAGAUAGCGGUGCCCUGUACCCGCAAUCCGCUGUAGCGGGGCUGAACUCCCUCCCGAGGUCUGGCCCUGUGGGACUGCCCGGGUCACGUGGCGUGGAUGGUUGGGUCCCACGCGGCGAGGAGCCGUGAACCCGGUCAGGUCCGGAAGGAAGCAGCCGUAAGCGGUGAACCUCGGGUGACGUGGGGGCGCCUGGCCGGAGCUAACGAGCCCGGCGCAAGCCGGAGGACCGUGAUCGACGGAGGGUGCACGG
rnacentral:SRP_RNA from 2 species